rnacentral:rRNA from 1 species
GACGAACGCUGGCGGCGUGCUUAACACAUGCAAGUCGAACGGAAAGGCCCUGCUUUUGUGGGGUGCUCGAGUGGCGAACGGGUGAGUAACACGUGAGUAACCUACCCUUGACUUUGGGAUAACUUCAGGAAACUGGGGCUAAUACCGGAUAGGAGCUCCUGCUGCAUGGUGGGGGUUGGAAAGUUUCGGCGGUUGGGGAUGGACUCGCGGCUUAUCAGCUUGUUGGUGGGGUAGUGGCUUACCAAGGCUUUGACGGGUAGCCGGCCUGAGAGGGUGACCGGCCACAUUGGGACUGAGAUACGGCCCAGACUCCUACGGGAGGCAGCAGUGGGGAAUAUUGCACAAUGGGCGGAAGCCUGAUGCAGAAACGCCGCGUGCGGGAUGACGGCCUUCGGGUUGUAAACCGCUUUCGCCUGUGACGAAGCGUGAGUGACGGUAAUGGGUAAAGAAGCACCGGCUAACUACGUG